rnacentral:tRNA from 1 species
CAUUGGAUGGCUGAAAGAAAGUAUAGGCCUCUUAAGCCUGGUAAUAGUAGUAUCGUCUACUUUCAAUG